rnacentral:rRNA from 1 species
GGUUCGAUCCUGGCUCAGAUUGAACGCUGGCGGGAUGCUUUACACAUGCAAGUCGAACGGCAGCACGGACUUCAGUCUGAUGGCGAGUGGCGAACGGGUGAGUAAUGUAUCGGAACGUGCCUAGUAGCGGGGGAUAACUACGCGAAAGCGUAGCUAGCCAAUCACAUACGCCCUUCGAGAGGAAAAGCGGGGGACCUUCGGGCCUCACUAUUAGGCAACCGAUAUCGGAUUAGCUAGUUGGUGGGGUAACGGCUCACCAAGGCGACGAUCCGUAGCUGGUUUUGAAAGGACGACCAGCCACACUGGGACUGAAGUUUGGCCAGACUCCUACGGGAGGCAGCAGUGGGGAAUUUUGGACAAUGGAAACCUGAUCCAGCCAUCCCGCGUGUGCGAUGAAGGCCUUCGGGUUGUAGAGCACUUUUGGCAGGAAAACGGCACGGGAUAAUACCCCGUGCAACUGACGACACCUGCAGAACCAGCACCGGCUAACUACGUGCCAGCAACCGCCAGUAAUACGUAGGGUGCAAGCGUUAAUCGGAAUUACUGGGCGUAAAGCGUGCGCAGGCGGUUCGGAAAGAAAGAUGUGAAAUCCCAGAGAAUAACUUUACGAACUUCCAUUUUAACUACCGAGCUAGAGUGUGUCAGGGAGGUGGAAUUCCGCGUGUAGUAAUGCGUAGAUAUGCGGAGGAACACCGAUGGCGAAGGCGGCCUCCUGGAUAACACUGACGCUCAUGCACGAAAGCGUGAGGCAAACAGGAUUAGAUACCCUGGUGAUCCACGCCUAAAACGAUAUCAACCCCAGCUGUUGGGGCCUGGACUGUGGUAGCGCAGCUAACGCGUGAAGUUGACCGCCUGGGGGAGUACGGUCAUAGUUAAAACUCAAGGAAUUGACGGGGACCCGCACAAGCGGUGGAUGAUGUGGAUUAAUUCGAUGCAACGCGAAAAACCUUACCUACCCUUGACAUGUCUGGAAUCCCGAAGAGAUUUGGGAGUGCUCGCAAGAGAACCGGAACACAGGUGCUGCAUGGCUGUCGUCAUCGUGUCGUGAGAUGUUGGGUUAAGUCCGCAACGAGCGCAAGCCCUUGUCAUUAGUUGCUACGAAAGGGCACUCUAAUGAGACUGCCGGUGACAAACCGGAGAAGGUGGGGAUGACGUCAAGUCCUCAUGGCCCUUAUGGGUAGGGCUUCACACGUCAUACAAUGGUCGGGACAGAGGGUCGCCAACCCGCGAAGAGGCCAAUCCCAGAAACCCGAUCCGUAGUCCGGAUCGCAGUCUGCAACUCGACUGCGUGAAGUCGGAAUCGCUAGUAAUCGCGGAUCAGCAUGUCGCGGUGAAUACGUUCCCGGGUCUUGUACACACCGCCCGUCACACCAUGGGAGUGGGUUUUACCGAAGUAGUUAGCCUAACCGUAAGGAGGGCGAUUACCACGGUAGGAUUCAUGACUGGGGUGAAAGUCGUAACAGGUAG